UGUGGAUGGACUAGAGGUACAAACAAAGCCCCGCCUAUUUUAUGAAAUAAUAAAAUAAUAAUCAUUUUCAUGGCAUUUUUUGUUAAGGAAACCUAUGAUGAGAAUAAAGUAAGAAACUAUCUAUCUGUUCGUUGUAUUUUAGUGCUCCUUGGUUUAUUUCACUUAGUUUGUGAGUUCAAAGUUGGUUAAACACAGUGAAGAUGCCAGUGUUUCAAGAAUCUUGUGCAGAGCAAAUUCAGGCUCAAACCGUCAUCGUUAUACAUCCAGGGUCGCAAAAUUUAAAGAUGGGAAGAGCAUCUGAUCUCAAUCCCGUUAAUAUCCUCAAUGCCAUUGCAAGGAAACGAUUACCUGGGGGUUUCGUUUAUAAAGAUCCAUUUCUACCUUCAUCCGUACUAAAGUAUUUUUUGCUUAUACAGACGAAGGAACUAACUCAAGCAAUGGAAGAAUCACGUCUUCAAGUAUCUCACACCCUUCAAUCCUGCUUACAAUCCGAUGGUAGAAGAAGAUACGCGACUCCACCUCAACAAAUAGCUGCUUUUAACAGACGAUCAAGUCCAGAAAUUUUAUCCCCUUGCAGUGAGGAGUGGUUGAAAACGGACGCUGAAGUAAUCGUUGGUGAUGACGUCUUGCGAGUGAAUCCUGAAGAUGGAUUCAAUAUUCAUUUCCCUUACCGUCGCGGAGAAUUGAAUAUACAUCCAGGACCGGGCGGGAGUUUAACGGCAAUUUUAGCUGAUUUGAAAACUAUCUGGGAGUUUGUUUUGGUGAAAAAGCUGCAAAUUCCCUUGAAAGAUUUGAAACACUAUCGAGCUGUGCUCAUUAUUCCAGAUAUUUAUAAUAGGUAUUAUUUGAAGGAGUUGACGACACUCAUGUUGUGUGAUAUUGGAUUCGGUGGAUGUUUCCUUCUUCAGGAUCAUGUGGCAGCCACAUUCGGAGCAGGUCUCGGUUAUGCUUGUGUAGUAGAUGUGGGAGACCAAAAAACCUCGGUAUCUUGUGUAGAGGAUGGAAUCUCCCACCGAAAUACUCGAGUUCGAAUGGAUUAUGGAGGAGGUGACAUUACUCAGACAUUUUUCUGGUUACUUCAAAAAUGCGCAUUUCCAUAUAAAAAAUGUGACCCAGCAGAUAAAAUUGAUGCAUUAUUAUUGAAUCAAUUGAAAAAGGAUUUUUGUCACGUGGACUUGAACAUUUGUGGGUCACAGGAGAAGACCUUCACUGUCAGAAGACCAAAAAUUCCGUCUGAACAACAUAUUCUUCAGGUAGGAGAUGAAUGUUUGGUGGCACCACUGAGCCUUUUUCAACCAGAACUAUUCAAGGUAACAGGAAUUCACGCAGUACAUAUACAAAAACGUUACCUGGGAGACCCACAGGAUCCUCAUGACGAGAAUUACCUGCGUGAAACAAGUAGAAGAGGGAUAAAAGAAAAUCUUGAGCAGACUCUAGAGUUACAAGAAGAGAUAGCAGUUCCAGCAAUCCCUGCCGAUGAAGAAGUUGUUGUGGAUGGAGUAGAUGCGGUGCCGAAUGUUCUUGCAAUUCGAGAUCUAGAGGCUCCUCGUGACUUUAUUGUUGGACCUCAACAACUCUUGGGUCUUGAUCAUGCAGUGUUGCAGAGUAUUGACAGAUGUCCAACUGAAGAGUUAAAACGAAAGAUGUACAGUUGUAUCCUCAUUGUCGGUUCCGGAAUGAACUUUCGAGGAAUUGGGAUGUGGCUUCAUAACAGAAUCUCUCUUCAAAUUCCUUAUAUGUUCAGAGCAGACCAAUUAGAUAUAAUAACGCAACCAAAAGAAAUGGAUCCAGGAAUCACAGCGUGGAAAGGUGCUGCCAUAUUCAGUUGUCUCGAAUCUGCUCAGGAACUCUGGAUUGGACAGCUAGAAUGGGAACGCCAUGGGGUACGAGUGCUUAGAGAAAGAGCACCAUUCAUGUGGUGAAUUUUUAAUAAUCAAUAACCUCGAUAUUCAACCAUCAACUUGAUGAGGAUUUUUCUCUUCUUGAACCUAUCGAUCUCAACGUACUCUGAUAUUUCCUGUCUCACAAUAUCAAAUUCAUCCAUGUGAAAAAUUUUAUAAGAAUUUCACAAACUUCUACAUAAAAAGCUGAUAACAAAUUUAAAAAAGCUCAUAAAUUUCAGAUAAAACACAUUCAGAUAUAUCAUAGAUAUAAAACAAAGAUCAGAUACGCAAAGUCCUACUGAUAAUUUAAAUUAUAAAAUCCAAUUUGUUCUUGAGAUCAAAUUAUAUUUUCAAUUGAACAAUUACUCUGAAUUCAAUCUUCCAUCCACAAAUGAUUGGAUAAUUCCAUUUUCGAAAAUCGCUUCUCAAAAUAAAUUUUGAAGAAGACUACAACAUUAAACUUUAAAAUUUAAAUUCCUCCUGGAACUAAGAGCUCAAUUAAAAGGACUUAGUGUAACCGA